UAUUUUAGUACUGUUGGCAGCUCUAAAAGCUGGUUCAGUGCCAUGGACAGCUGUAAUAGCUGGUUCAGUACCAUAGACAGCUGUAAUAGCCACUUUGGUACCAUAGACAUCUCUGGAAUGCUGUCUAAGUACAAUGGAGAGCUCUAUAGCUGUUUCAGCUCAAUGUACAACAACAGCUGUUACAGUACCGCAACAGCUGUUCCAGUACUGUAGACAGUUGUGAUAUCUGUUUCAGUAUGGUGGGCAGCUCUAAAUUCUGAUUCAGCACUAUAGGCAUCUCCAACAGCUGCUGGUGGAAAGCUGUAUUAUAGCAUUUUCAGUACCGAGGACAGCUCUAAUGGCUGUUACAGUACCAUGGAGAGCUCUAAUAGCUGUUACAAUGCAAUGUACAGCAGUACCUGUUUCAGUACUGUGGGCAGCUCUAAUACCCUUUUCAAUACCAUGGACAGCUGUUAAUUAACUGUUAAACAUGGACAGUUCUAAAAUGCUGUACCAUGGAAAGCUCUAUAGCUGUUUCUGUUCAAUGUAUAGCAACAGCUGUCCCAGUACUGAGGGCAGCUGUAGUAUCUGUUUCAGUAUGGCGGGCACCUCUAAACAAUGGGAACAUCUAAUAGCUGCUUCAGUAUCAUAGAAAGCUGUAAUAGCAAUGCCUGGGCUAUGGAUAGCUCUAGUAGCUGUUCAUGGACAGCUACAACUACUUCAGCAUAGACAGCUCCUACACUGGUGACUGGCACACCUUUGCUUGUCGGUUGGUCCAGAGAACAGCCAUGCUUGCAAUGCUGUUCAAAACACAGUCUUGGGACAGCAGCCUGUGGGUCAGCACCUCAGACAGCUCUCUGACAGCUCUUGUAUAUAAAUACGAAGAGAAACAAAAUCUUGCACCAACAUAUGUAACCAACUUUGACGUUCUUCAUUUUGAGAGGUCGAAAAAAUACAUCUUGCAAAAAAACCUGCAGAUUCAAAUAUCAGGGCACUUAAUGAUUAAUGGAAAAAUUUAUGGCAUCAUGAAUUUGCAAUUUUAGGUGAUGUACUGCAAAAGGAUCUUAUCUUUGUAAUUGUUUUGAUGAUUUACUUGAAUAUGGAAAACAUUUUACUGCUGAUGAUUAACAUCUUAUUAUGAAGUUUUCACAUUCAAAUGGUGGAAACUUAGAGCAUUCAUAUAUCAGGAUAGUACAAAUCAGUCUAUUCUAAUUGGUUGUCAAGUGGGGUAUAUUCUCAGUAAUUCCUGGUGUUUAACUCCAAAUGACCGUUCAGGUUGUUCCUUGUCUCCUGAACAGAAAUGUACUGCUUGCAUCAAAGUAUAUGCACGCGUGUUGGAUUACUGUUUCUCUAUGAAUUUUUAUGAUAAUUGGAAUUGUAAAUUAUCUGUGGCUUGUGGGAAACUAUUAUACGAUAGUCACCAUAAUUUGGGUGAUAACUGUGCCUCAACGCAGUGGCAAGGUGUGUGUAUCUGGAAAAAGAAACGUUGUACAGUUUUUGAUGUAGUGUGUACCUAGAAUUCUGCUGAACUUGUAGUGACUGUGUAUAGGACACUAUGCUAUACUUCUGCACCUACCAGUGUUAAUAUAGAGGGGGGGCUUCAAUGUGGGCUGGGUUGGUGAAGAAACAUUGAACAACUUGUCCAAGACAAGUUUGUCAGACAGAAAACAGGGAAAAACCUCUUUGUCAAGCAACUCAAAUCCCUGUUGGCAGUCUUCGUUAAUUAGAAAAUGCGAUGGAAGUGAGCAUCACCUUGGACUGACCUUGGACUUAAUGACAUUCCUAAUUCCUCCCAACACUAAUUACUCACUAAUUACUUUGUACAGUCCUUUCAAAGGAGGGAGGGGGGCAACUGACCAUGUGUUGAUGUACAUCCAGGGCAGUGGAAGGAAUGGUAGAAAAAAUAGAAGUUCUGUCUUUAUGUACAACGUCAUGCCAUGAGGGGCUUCAGCAUGUAUUUUCUGUAAUGUACAAAUAUGGAGGAAGGGGAGAGGGAGGUUCUUUUGUGUUCAUGUGACAAAGAUGGGGGGUGGGGUAUACUGGUAAAGCCCUGUCACACAUUCGAUACCUUCCCAUGACGGAUCACUGCCUAACCAAGGUCAAUGUUGGGUUGGAAGUAGUCUGGAAUCCAUCCAAUUCUAGCUGCAGUGCACUCCUCUGAUCGCAUCCAAGCAGAAUGUGACUUUUACAACUUUUAUAUUUUGAAAUUCAUUGGUUCAAAUUAAUUUGAUUAAAGACAAGUAGGCAACCUGACUGACCAACUCCCAACUACAGAUGACAUGACUAAUUCCCAACCACAGUCUGGAGAAGGUCAGGAGGCCAUGGUUGGCUAUGUAUAACGGGCUUGAGCCUUCUUUUCUACAAUGUCAAUGAUUUAGACUAAGGCCAUGAUGACUUGAUUGUAUAUGGAUGACAUUCUUUGGGAAUCCCAAUGCUGAUGCGAGUGUGUGUAAAAAAAAAAAAAAUUGUCCAGAUGGUCAGGAAGGUUUACCAAUUCUCAAGGCACGAAGUAUGAUAUACCAGAUUAUGAAUUCUUCGCUUUUUGUUCUUUCUCAUCUUCUUUGGAUUCGAGUUUGGCUUACUUUCACAUUAAUAAUUUUUUUAAUAAAACAAAUAUGACAUUGUAAAGGAACCCCCAAUGAUAGAAAUGUACAAAAUGUUCACUGUCGUCUUACUUUUUUGUCAUCCCCUUCCUGUUAAUGGAAUAGUCCUGGAGCUCUGAGAAGUCCUGAGUUUUGCGCAGUUUUUUUUUUUCCGAUGAUUUUCUGGUGUGUUUACUUGUGGAAUGUCACGAGUGAUGUAAAUAUACGGCAAAAAGAAUGGAUGCCAAUAUUCAGUGUUAAUUGUUAUUUGAAGCAAAAACAUUAAAAUGUUGAAUCACCAAUG